rnacentral:rRNA from 1 species
UCCAAUUAGCUAGUUGGUAGGGUAACGGCCUACCAAGGCGACGAUUGGUAGCCGAACUGAGAGGUUGGUCGGUCACAAGGGCACUGAGAGACGGGCCCUACUCCUACGGGAGGCAGCAGUGGGGAAUCUUGGACAAUGGGCGAAAGCCUGAUCCAGCGACGCCGCGUGGAGGAAGAAGUCCUUCGGGAUGUAAACUUCUGAACUAGCCGAAUAAAAGGCCUGUGGACACACAGGAGAAGAAAGUAGGCUAGGAAAAGUCCCGGCUAACUACGUGCCAGCAGCCGCGGUAAGACGUAGGGGGCAAGCGUUACCCGGAAUUACUGGGCGUAAAGGGGGCGUAGGCGGUAAAAGAAGUCAUCUGUGAAAACCUAUUGCUCAACGAUAGGCUAGCGGAUGAAACUGAAUUACUUGAGGGCACCAGAGGUAGACGGAAUUACCCGAGUAGGGGUGAAAUCCGCAGAUACGGGUAGGAACGCCGGUGGAGAAGUCGGUCUACUGGGGUGCACCAGACGCUGAGGCCCGAAAGCUAGGGGAGCAAACCGGAUUAGAUACCCGGGUAGUCCUAGCCGUAAACGCUGCUCACUAGGUGUAGGGAGUGAUAAACUCUCUGUGCUGAAGCGAACGCGCUAAGUGAGCCGCC